rnacentral:rRNA from 1 species
GACGAGCCUCACAAACGUUAUUCGGAAUUACUGGGCUUAAAGGGUGCGUAGGCGGCGCGGAAAGUUGGGUGUGAAAUCCCUCGGCUCAACCGAGGAACUGCGCCCAAAACUACCGUGCUCGAGGAAGAUAGAGGUGAGCGGAACUUACGGUGGAGCGGUGAAAUGCGUUGAUAUCGUAAGGAACACCCGUGGCGAAAGCGGCUCACUGGGUCUUUUUCUGACGCUGAUGCACGAAAGCUAGGGGAGCAAACGGG